UAUUGUGCUUGAGUUAAACUAAACUGUUGCCAAACCAACGCAAACUCACAAAUUCCGUUUAUUUGACAACUGAGAUGUAUUGAAAACGGUUCAGCUCAAAUUUGUUUUAUUUUGUUCGCUGUUGAUAUUUUUGUUGCCAGUGGCUUUAACAGAAAUAUCAGACUUGCCUGUCUAAGAAUGGCAACAACUACAAUAAACUCAAUUUCAAUUUACUCAUACCCAUAUGUGUAAACCAUAUACACACAUUUACAAGAAAACAACCUACCAAUUGACCAUCAAAAAGGCCACACAAGAAACUUUUCAAAACAAUUUGUUCAUAUGGAAGUAUUUUGAAAAUGCGCACCCGAAUGCAACUCAAAAGGCACGAAGUCAUGGAUACAGCACGUUAAUAGUUAUAAUCAAGCAGAAGAUCAAUGAUGAGAGAGCGAAUUGUAAAAAUUUCAGGCAUCAGUAGUUUAAAAAGUGUUUGCUUGAGUGUCUGUGAAUAUGAAAAUAAUUUAUUGGUAUGAUACUAAGUGGUGCAUAUUUAAUAACGAUUAUUAAGCACUACCAACUACUGGCCAACACUUGCCAAUGACGAUGCCACUACUGCAAGUGUAACAUCUUAAAACGUAAUAAAUAUAUAGAAACUUACAAACAACACAAGGUGUCCAAAGAACUCAAACAAACACUCCUGAUGAAGUUGAAGCUUUGCAAACCGUUAUAAUGAAUAUUUUAAGAAGAAUAUAUAUGUAUAUUUUUUUUACAAAUACAUUAUUUAAACGAAUAUAUUACAUACGUAUUUAUUAUAUUAUUAAUAACACAAACACAUGUUUGCACUAAUACAUGCAACCGAAUUAAAGAAGGAGGUGUGAUAGAUACAACGGACAUUGCAGAGCAGUGAUAACGGCGCCAUUAGCUGUAAAGCCAUCAAGUUUAAAAAAAAAAAUUACAAAUAAUGCAAGCAGCUGAAAUUUAUAUUUAAUGCAUUCAUAGUAAAAUUAAUAAACAAACGACGAAAAAUAAAACAAAAACAAAAAGUAACUAAAUCCAUAAGCGGCCUCCACAUUCCAACCAUUAUACACGCCCACAUGAUUUAAACUAGUGCAUGGUAACUGCAAAACAAACGACCAACCAAUGCUCUACUUCCACCACAAAACAUUAUUGUCAAAUAUAUGUAUGCACGUACAGCAGCCGCAUUUAACUUCUCACUAAACAAAAUUUAGCUUUCGGCAUCAAAAAGUAAAGGAAAAAAAAACAAUUACACACUUAAACCACCAACACCCAAAAGUAAAGACAAAAAAAUAUCCAUUCUCUAGUUAAAACUUUACAAGAUGGCAGAGAAUAUAUAAAAAAGCAAACAAUUUACAGCAAACAGCCAACAAACUUAGAAAACAAUACCAGCCUUUAGCUUUUUGCAUACUUUAAUAUAAAAAAUUUGUGUUUGUGGAGUUGUACUUAAAAAUUUUUAUUUAAAAAAUAACCAAAUUUCAUAUAAAAUUUUAAUAAAAUUACUUAAUAUUGGUCGAAAUUAGUGGUCAUCUUUAAAGUUUCAUAAUACAGGU